GGACAAACCAGAGAAGUCAGACUAACAACAAUUUUUAAAUUUGAAAUUUAAAUAUGAACACCAUGUGUCAUGAUGAAAAAAUCCAAACAACUGUGUUAUUAAAAGAGAGUAGGAAGAAAAUGCAGAUGCUGGUUUAAACCGUAGACACAAUAAGCUGGUGUAACUCAGCAGAUCAUGUAGCAUCUCUGGAGAGAAGGAAUGGGUGAGAUUUUUGGUCGAGAUCCUUCAUCAGACCUUCUUUCAGACUGAAAAAAGGGGUUUGUAACAAGAAGGCAGAUUAUUAUCUGAAUAGUGUCAGAUUAGGUGCAAUGAAACCUGGGUGUCCGUGUACAUCAGUCACUGAAAGUAAGCAUGCAGACACAGCAGGCAGUGAAGAAAGCUAAUGGCAUGUUGGCCUUCAUAGCGCGAGGAUUUGAGUAUAGGACCAAGGAGUUUAGGGCCACUGUUGUUCUGGGCCCUGGUGAGACCACAUCUUGAGUAUUCUUGCGAAUGAGGGAGUGUCUUGAAUUGAAUGAGAUCCACAAAUUGAGACCGAAGGCUUGCAAACUCUGGAAUUUCAUCAAGUCGGCAAAACUCAUCCCAAGAUGCUUUAGGGAGCCAUUCAGUUGGAUUUGGGUGUGGAUUAUCCAAGCCAAUGCCACCCGUCAGCAAAAAGGUCCACUCCACUUCUUCAAUCUGAAGAUUUUUGGCUGUCAGAUUCCAGCGCGUCUUCUCCCCACCAAGUCCACCAAUGAGUUGAUCUGCACGCUCCAGCUUUUUACUGCACAAAUCAACCUAGGAGAUACCAUGUGGAAACAGGCCCUUCGGCUCACCGGGUCCACGAUCAUCCGUACACUAGUUCUAUCCUACACGUCAAUUAACUUACAAACCCACAGCUUUUUGGAAUGUGGGAGGAAACUGGAGCACCUGGAGAAAACCCACAAGGGGUGAAGGAAAGAGCGUUCACGUCGCGGCCCAGUUUCCACCAAUCUUUCCACCACCACCACACACAAGAAGCACAAGACAGACACCAUUGUAUGCAGAUGCAGAGACGUGUGUCCAGCUCUGGCUGAACAACUUCUAAUGUUGUGAGUGAACUCGAUAAGAAGAAGACUUAUCUUGCAGGUUUGCUCUAAGAGGAGCUGGGAUUGAUUCAACAGGUGGUCAUGCCGAAGGUAGACUGGACAAGGUAGAUUUCAAGGUCGUCUGAAGAAGGGUAUCGACCCGAAAAGUCACCCAUUCCUUCUCUCUAGACAUGCUGCCUGAGUUACCCCGGCAUUUUGUUGUCUAUCUUCGGUGUAAACCAGUAUCUGCAUUUCCUUCCUGCGCAUUUUGUCAUGCCCAAGGUGCUGGCCGAAAGUGGAUGUAUGACCACCAGGGAAGGAAAAGGGAGUAGGCAGAGGAAUCCAUUUCCCUCGAAAUCGAGUACAUCCUUGUGUAUACUACUGGGAGGGGAUGUCCAUUCCAUGGAUGUCCAGGUCUGUGGUAUCAAGUCUGGCUCUGGCUCACAGGGAGCAAUGGUGAAGUCAAAACAAGUGAAGAUGAUAGGUAAUUCAAUAGUUAAGGGUACAGACUAGAGAUUCUGUGGAAGCAACAGGAGUCCAGGCUGGUGUCUUGUCUCCCUUGCGCUAUGGUCCAGGAUAUCUCAGAGUGGCUGUGGAACAGUUCUCAAGGAAGAGGGUGAGUAGCCAUACAGUAAGUCAUUGUGCACGUUGGCACAAAUGACAGGUAGGAAAAGGGAUGAGGGUCCUGCAGAGUGAAUGUAGUGAGAUUGGCAAAAUGUUAAAAAGCAGUCCCACAAUAGUAGUAAUGUCUGGAUUUUUCCUUAUGCUAGUGACGGUAGGAAUAUGAAGAUGUGACAGAUGAAUAUCUGGCAGAAGAGAUGGUGCAGGGGUAGGGAUUCAGAUUUUUGGACUAUUGAGAUCUCCUCUGGGGCAAAAGUAACCUGUGUAUGAGGGUCGGGUUGCACUUACACUGAAGAAAGGCCAAUAUCCUGGCAGGCAGGUUUGCAAGUGCUACUAAGGAAGCUUUAAACUAGAUCAAGUUCAAAAUAGUUUAUUGUCAUGUGUCGCUGAUAGGACAAUGAAAUUCUUGCUUUGCUUCAGCACAACAGAACAUAGUAAGCAUUGGACUACAAAACAGAUCAGUGUGUCCAUAUACCAUUAUAUAAAUAUAUACACACAUGAAUAAAUAAACUGAUAAAGUGCAAAUAAACAGAUAAUGGGCUAUUAAUGUUCAGAGUUUUGUCCGAGCCAAGUUUAAUGGCUGUGGGGAAGUAGCUAUUCCUGAACCUGGUUGUUGCAGUCUUCAGGCUCCUGUACCUUCUACCUGAAGGAGUGGAGAUGGAUCCAAAGACAUAGUGGGACAGAUGGGAGACAGUCGGGUGGGUGGAAGUUGAUACAUUCAACGACAGGAGGUUCAGUAGACAGGCCAUGCAGGAGCAUGGCAGGGAGAGAGGAAAGAUGGUUGGAUUAAAUUGCCUUAUUUCAAUGCACGAGGCCAGACAGGCAAGCAAGGCAAAUGAGCUCGAGGCAUGGAUAGGUACAUGUGACUGGGAUAUUAUAACCAUUACAGAAAGGCUAAGGGAGGGACAGGACUGGCAGCUUAAUGUUCUCGGGUUCAGGCGAGAUUGAGGUGGGGUAGACUGGGACUAGAGGCCAGUAAGCCUAACAUCUGUAGUAGGAAAGUUACUGGAGAGAAUUCUGCGGGAUAAGAUUUGGAUAAACAGGAGUUUAUUAGAGAUACUCAGCAUGGUUUGUACAUGGGAGUUAUUUGUUUGAAGUAACUGAGAAAGUUGAUGGUGAGGCCAGGGCUGUAGAUAUAGUCUAUAUGGACUUCACAAAUGCCUUUGAUAAGGCUUUGCACAGUAGGCUUCUCUGGAAGGUUAGUUCACAUGGGAUCCAGAGAGAGGUCGAUCUUGGGAGUAUUGUUUUCAGUUUUAGUCACCCUGCUAGGGGAAAGAUGCCAUCAAGCUGGAAAGGAAGCAAAGAUGAUUUACUGGGCUGUAACCAGGACUCGAGUACUUGAGCAAGAGGUUCAGCAGGUUCGUACUUUAAUCCUUGGAGGCUGAGGGCUGAUCUUUAUGGAGGUGAAUAAAAUCAUAAGGGAAAUAGAUAGAGUGAAUGCAAGAGUCUUUUUCCCCAGAGUAGGGAAAUGAAGUAUCAGAGGGCAAAAUUGAAGGGGAGCGGAGUAUGAUUUAACCACAGCAUGAGGGACAAUAUUUUCCACAUAGUGGGUACAUGAAAGGAGAUGCCAGAGGAAAAUAGUUGAGGCAAGUACAAUAACAACGUUUAAAAGACAUUUGGACAGGUGCCUGAAUAAGAAAGUUUUGAGGGAUGUUGAGCUAAAUAUAGACAAAUGGGACUAGCUUUGUUGAGGCAUCAUGUUCGGCAUGGAUAUGAUUGGCAGAAGGGCCUGUUUCUGUGCUGUAUGUCUCUAACUCUUACAGACCAAAGAGCCUCAUUCUGUGGCAUAAGAUACGGUGAUGCCUUGUGACUGCAUGAUCUGGGGAAGUGAGGAGGACGACUCCAACACUAAAAUGCCACACUUUAUACAAUUAGUUUAGUUUAGUCAAUAUGCAAUAGUCUAGAGAUACAGCACAGAAACAGACCCUUCAGCCCACCAAAUCCAUGCUGACCAGCACACUUAUACUAUCCUACAUACACAAGGGACAAUUUACAAUUAUUCAAAGCCAAUUAGCCUACACACCUGUAUGUCUUUGGAGAUCCUGGAGAAAAUUGGAGAUCCUGGGGAAAACCUGCGAGGUCACGGGGAGAAUGUACAAACUACUUACAGACUGCACCCAUAGUCAGUCUCUGGCAAUGUAAGGCAACAACUCUACCGCUGCACCACCGCGCCGCCCUGAUAUGACUCUAUAGUUCUAUGAUAAGCAUCAGCUUCAUAAGCCUUUUCCCUAAUUUUAAACAAGGUUAGUUGAUGAGCACCCUGGCAAGGCCUGGCCAAUUGUAAGCCCAUCUAUUCUACAUGAAAUAUAUAACAGGACAGAUUACAAUUUUCAGCAAAAUGUUACCUAUUCAUAAUUUGUUGCAAUAUAUUUUAUAUGUUCUGUGUAUGGUGUGGAACAUGAUAUUAAAUAUAAUGCUAGUAAGAGUGCUGUUAUGAUCUGUAGAACCAAAGAGGAUAAAUGUCUAAAAUUUCCUGAUUUUAAAUUGUCCGACAAUAAUCUUAGUGUCUGUAAUAAGGUAAAAUAUCUAGGGCAUUUUAUUACAGAACAAAUGACAUAUGAUGAGGAUAUUUAUAGGCAACAACGCAUGCUGUAUGUACAGGCGAAUAUUCUCUUGUGUAAAUUUGAUGCGUGUGCAGAUGUGGUGAAGAUGUCGCUAUUUAGCGCAUACUGCACACCACUCUACACUGCACACCUGUGUUCGAACUAUGGAAAGACAAGUUUGCAGAGACUAAAGGUGGCAUAUAAAGAUGCAAUGAGAACACUGCUAAGGAAACCUAGAUGGUGUAGUGCUAGUAACAUGUUUGUGGCAGCAUGAGUCAGUACUUUAGAAGCUAUCCUAAGAAAUCAUAUGUAUAAAUUCAUUUGCAGAAUAAAUGACUUUAAAAAUGUAAUUAUUGUUGCCUUGUCAAACAUAAGGGUUAGCACUACACGCUACGAAUCCCAGCUGUGGAGACACUGGUAUCGUUGUCUCGUUGUAGGACAUUGAUCAUUCUUUUAAUCUGGAUUUUUAAUUCAUGUAUUGUGUGUUUUUUUAUAUAUAUAAUUUAAUAUGCUUUUAUGUGAUAUACUAAGAUUUUAUAUGUACUUUAUGAUAUUUUUUAAUAUGCAAUGCAUGUUUAUGUAAUGUUGCCCCUUGUCUGGACCGCGAGUCUGUAAUAAAGUUUU